UGAAACUUCAUAGGUACAUUGAUCAUGACUGGCAGAUGACCCCUAUUGAUUUUCAGGUCAGUAGGUCAAAGGUCAAGGUCACAGUGACUCGAAACAGUAAAAUGGUUUCCGGAUGAUAACUCAAGAAUGCUUAUGCCUAGGAUCAUGAAACUUCAUAGGAACAUUGAUCAUGACUGGCAGAUGACCCCUAUUGAAUUUCAGGUCACUAGGUCAAAGGUCAAGGUCACAGUGACUCAAAACAGUAAAAUGGUUUCCGGAUGAUAACUCAAGAAUAAUUAGGCCUAGGAUCAUGAAACUUCAUAGGUACAUUGAUCAUGACUGGCAGAUGACCCCUAUUGAUUUUCAGGUCACUAGGUCAAAGGUCAAGGUCACAGUGACAAAAAACGUAUUCACACAAUGGCUGUCACUACAACUGACAGCCCAUAUGGGGGGAUGCAUGUUUUACAAACAGCCCUUGUUUUACAUAUCAUUUCAGGUCUUUUAUUUUGUAACCCUCAUUUAGGCCCAAUUUUCUGUAUGUCAACAUAGUUUAUUUAAAUUCAAGUGCAAAUAUUUCAAUCUAUGUUGUAUAUAUGCAUUCAUAUUUCAAAAGAGAUUCUUAAAGAUCAUGAAAAUUAUGUAUAAUUUUACAAUUUAUUGUUAAACACAAGUUCAUCUUUUUCUCUAUUUUUUUUCUUAUCUUCAGCUUCACCCAUGAUAUUGUACUUUUUCAUUGCAAUUAAAAGGUGAAUUCAUACAAAUCUAGUUAUAUUUCACAUUAAUUGAACAGUAUUUAGUCAUAUAUAUAAUUUCUUCUACCAUAGAUUUCUUUUUGAUACAAUAUUUAAAAGUAGUUGAAUAAAUGUGUAGAGUA